UGGACAACCGCUGCAUUUGUAGAGGAAAGUCCAUGCUCGCACGAGCUGAGACGCUCGUAGUGAUUGCGCUAGCGGAAAAAAUAACGCUAGGUACGUAGGAGUACGUAACGGCGGGAGGAUACCUAAAGGAAACCAUGGUCGAAUCCCUGAAAGUGCCACAGUGACGUAGUUUAUUAGAAAUAAUAAAGUGGAACGCGGUAAACCCCACAAGCGAGAAACCCAAAUUUGGUAGGGGAGAUAAGGUAGAGAACUGAAUUGAUCCUUGUAAGCUUAGCUUAGAUAAAUGGUUGUCAAAACAGAACAUGGCUUAUAG
rnacentral:RNase_P_RNA from 1 species